rfam:Bacilli bacterium VT-13-104 contig040, whole genome shotgun sequence.
ACUGUAAAUUAAAUAAAAACGCGUAUAAUCUCGGGGAUAUGGCCCAAGAGUUUCUACUAAACUACCGUAAAUAGUUUGACUACGCAGAGAUAUUGGGAUGAA